UACUAUAUGUGACCAGUGGACCGGCCCACAGUGCAUGGGAAUUCAAAAGUCUCAAAGCAAGUUCAAAGCAAACAUGCUAUAUCAAGGACUGAGAAAGUGGGGGCACUGGCGUCCCCAAGAGGCCACACUUCCUAUUCAAACCUGAAGCUGCAUUGAACACAGAAAAGAGGCAGUGACUUUCCAGAAAACAUGAAUGCCCAGGUCCUAUCAUAUCCUUCCUUAUUCAUUUACUCCCCUCUGUUUGCCAACUACUUGUGCUGGGAGUGAUGACAUGAAACAAGAAGGAAAGCUGAUCGGAAAUCUCAUAGAAGGAAGCUGUGAGUGGGUCCUUACUGGCACCCAAGUCUGAAUGAUUUCCGGGUCUCCCCUCUGCAUUAAAGGUUCAUUUGUUCAUUUAUCCAAACU